GACAUAAAAAUGGAGAAAAUUUUACAGGGCAUAUACAGAAUUGUAGAUACUGUAUACUUUGUUUUAAACUUAUAAAUUGCAGAUACAUGUACAAAACAUACGUAAAAUUGAAUAUAGAAAGCCAUAAUGAAGAAGACGUAAAUACAGAUCUUCAUAUAUACAUAUUCCUGUGUAUAAGCAUACAGAUAAAUGUUUAUUUUACAUUUACAGGGGUCUAAAUGUAGACACGCUGACAUAUAUGUUUAAGAUUACGCCCUUAGGUUAUGUUUUAUAUCCUGUAGGUUGGUAACAAAUCAAUAUGGAACAUCGACACAAAUUUCUUCAUAUAUUUCAGUUUAUUCCUAUUUCGGAUAAUGUUUAAAAAGCCGAACAGAAUAAUAACUUGCGAAAUAAACAAAGUCGAAAGAUAUACGAAAAUUCGUUUUCGUUCAUAACGUAAGAAGAGUAAUAAAAUUGGAAAUAAUAGAGAAUUAUUGAAGCGGCAAAUGGUAUAAAGAUUGGUUUAGACUCAUAAACUGUGUCUUCAAAUACAAGCCUGUUAACACUAUCUUGUUAGUCAAGGAAUGAAGGCAGUUGUGUGCAACCAGAGAAAGCAUACAGGUAUCAAACGAAGCGGCAAGAAAUACCGACAUAAAUUACGUAUUUACACAAUGAAUGACGAGUUGCUAGUGUCGAGAUAUGACUUGACUACCAAGAGAAUCAAGGUGUUUGUCAAGUUAAAAGACGAGUGCACACUCCCGAUUGCAAAACUGAGAUUUACUAGCGCUCAUUAACUAGAGUACCAUUCUCCUUCCUAAACAAGUUUAUAGGAAACGACUACCUUUACGCAAUAUAAUCUUAUGAGGCCUUCUUAGAUUAGAAUUUUCGGGUUUUAAAUUUAUUUAUUACAAUCUUACGAAACACAAUUGAAAACUUAUUUUAUAUUCAUACAAUUUACUAACCUAAAAACUGUAUUGUUACAUAGUAUAUACACAGAUAAAACUUAACAGACAUUAUUAAAAAUUAUGAAAAUAUCUCAAAAAACUUUUCCAUCUGCC
rnacentral:lncRNA from 1 species